UCCUGGCUCAGGAUGAACGCUAGCUACAGGCUUAACACAUGCAAGUCGAGGGGAAACGACAUCGAAAGCUUGCUUUUGAUGGGCGUCGACCGGCGCACGGGUGAGUAACGCGUAUCCAACCUGCCCACCACUUGGGGAUAACCUUGCGAAAGUAAGACUAAUACCCAAUGACGUCUCUAGAAGACAUCUGAAAGAGAUUAAAGAUUUAUCGGUGAUGGAUGGGGAUGCGUCUGAUUAGCUUGUUGGCGGGGUAACGGCCCACCAAGGCGACGAUCAGUAGGGGUUCUGAGAGGAAGGUCCCCCACAUUGGAACUGAGACACGGUCCAAACUCCUACGGGAGGCAGCAGUGAGGAAUAUUGGUCAAUGGGCGAGAGCCUGAACCAGCCAAGUAGCGUGCAGGAUGACGGCCCUAUGGGGUUGUAAACUGCUUUUUAUAAGGGAAUAAAAGUGAGUCUCGUGAGACUUUUUUGCAUGUACCUUAUGAAUAAGGACCGGCUAAUUCCGUGCCAGCAGCCGCGGUAAUACGGAAGGUCCGGGCGUUAUCCGGAUUUAUUGGGUUUAAAGGGAGCGUAGGCCGGAGAUUAAGCGUGUUGUGAAAUGUAGAUGCUCAACAUCUGAACUGCAGCGCGAACUGGUUUCCUUGAGUACGCACAAAGUGGGCGGAAUUCGUGGUGUAGCGGUGAAAUGCUUAGAUAUCACGAAGAACUCCGAUUGCGAAGGCAGCUCACUGGAGCGCAACUGACGCUGAAGCUCGAAAGUGCGGGUAUCGAACAGGAUUAGAUACCCUGGUAGUCCGCACGGUAAACGAUGGAUGCCCGCUGUUGGUCUGAAUAGGUCAGCGGCC
rnacentral:rRNA from 1 species